AUUGAACGCUGGCGGCAGGCCUAACACAUGCAAGUCGAGCGGAUGAAGGGAGCUUGCUCCUGGAUUCAGCGGCGGACGGGUGAGUAAUGCCUAGGAAUCUGCCUGGUAGUGGGGGAUAACGUCCGGAAACGGGCGCUAAUACCGCAUACGUCCUGAGGGAGACAGUGGGGGAUCUUCGGACCUCACGCUAUCAGAUGAGCCUAGGUCGGAUUAGCUAGUUGGUGGGGUAAAGGCCUACCAAGGCGACGAUCCGUAACUGGUCUGAGAGGAUGAUCAGUCACACUGGAACUGAGACACGGUCCAGACUCCGACGGGAGGCAGCAGUGGGGAAUAUUGGACGAUGGGCGAAAGCCUGAUCCAGCCAUGCCGCGUGUGUGAAGAAGGUCUUCGGAUUGUAAAGCACUUUAAGUUGGGAGGAAGGGCAGUAAGUUAAUACCUUGCUGUUGUGACGUUACCAACAGAAUAAGCACCGGCUAACUUCGUG
rnacentral:rRNA from 1 species